rnacentral:rRNA from 1 species
AUUGAACGCUGGCGGUAGGCCUAACACAUGCAAGUCGAACGGCAGCACAGGAGAGCUUGCUCUCUGGGUGGCGAGUGGCGGACGGGUGAGGAAUACAUCGGAAUAUACUUUUUCGUGGGGGAUAACGUAGGGAAACUUAAGCUAAUACCGCAUACGACCUACGGGUGAAAGCAGGGGAUCUUCGGACCUUGCGCGAUUGAAUGAGCCGAUGUCGGAUUAGCUAGUUGGCGGGGUAAAGGCCCACCAAGGCGACGAUCCGUAGCUGGUCUGAGAGGAUGAUCAGCCACACUGGAACUGAGACACGGUCCAGACUCCUACGGGAGGCAGCAGUGGGGAAUAUUGGACAAUGGGCGCAAGCCUGAUCCAGCCAUACCGCGUGGGUGAAGAAGGCCUUCGGGUUGUAAAGCCCUUUUGUUGGGAAAGAAAUCCAGCUGGUUAAUACCCGGUUGGGAUGACGGUACCCAAAGAAUAAGCACCGGCUAACUUCGUGCCAGCCGCCGCCGUAA